GACGAACGCUGGCGGCGUGCCUAAUACAUGCAAGUAGAACGCUGAAGAGUGGAGCUUGCUCUUCUUGGAUGAGUUGCGAACGGGUGAGUAACGCGUAGGUAACCUGCCUUGUAGCGGGGGAUAACUAUUGGAAACGAUAGCUAAUACCGCAUAACAAUGGAUGACACAUGUCAUUUAUUUGAAAGGGGCAAUUGCUCCACUACAAGAUGGACCUGCGUUGUAUUAGCUAGUAGGUGAGGUAAUGGCUCACCUAGGCGACGAUACAUAGCCGACCUGAGAGGGUGAUCGGCCACACUGGGACUGAGACACGGCCCAGACUCCUACGGGAGGCAGCAGUAGGGAAUCUUCGGCAAUGGGGGCAACCCUGACCGAGCAACGCCGCGUGAGUGAAGAAGGGUUUCGGAUCGUAAAGCUCUGUUGUAAGUCAAGAACGGGUGUGAGAGUGGAAAGUUCACACUGUGACGGUAGCUUACCAGAAAGGGACGGCUAACUACGUG
rnacentral:rRNA from 1 species